rnacentral:rRNA from 1 species
CUGCGAAUGGCUCAUUAUAUCAGUUAUAGUUUAUUUGAUGAAGAGACUAAUUGGAUAACCGUAGUAAUUCUAGAGCUAAUACAUGUAUAAAGUCUUGUAGACUGCAUUUAUUAGAAUGAAAACCAUAGGUUUCGGCCUAUUCGUGAGUAAUAAUAACUAAUCAUAUCGUAUGCUUAAGUAACGAUGUGUCUUUCAAGUUUCUGCCCUAUCAGCUUUCGAUGGUAGUGUAUUGGACUACCAUG